AUGGCGGCCGGGCUGGGGCCGCGGCUGCUGGCCUUGGCCUUGGCCUUGGGGCCGGCCGGUGUGUGGGCACAGUGGAGGCUGGUGGAGUCUGGUGGAGGUCUGCAAGCACCAGGGAACUCUGUGAAGCUCUCCUGUCAGGGAUCCGGAUUCACCUUCAGUUCAUUUGGUGUAUGGUGGUACCGUCAGGCACCCGGUGGCAGUCUCGAAGCAGUGCUUACACUAAGCCAAGGACUUUUCAUCUUCUCACACUCUCCUGCCAGUGGGCAGGCUUGGGGUGCAGCAAGAGCUGGGAGGGGACAGAACCUGGACAGCUGACCCAGACUGGCCAAAGGAGAAUUCCAUACCAUAGGACAUCCUGCUGAACAAUUAAUAUGGGGUGGCUGGCGGGGAUGGGGGCACCGGCUGCACAGGGAUUGGCUGGGCAUCGGUCAGCGUGUG